UUAAGCGACUAAGCGUACACGGUGGAUGCCCUGGCAGUCAGAGGCGAUGAAGGACGUGCUAAUCUGCGAAAAGCGCCGGCGAGGUGAUAUGAACCUUUGACCCGGCGAUGUCCGAAUGGGGAAACCCAGUGCAAUUCGUUGCACUAUCGUUAACUGAAUACAUAGGUUAACGAGGCGAACCGGGGGAACUGAAACAUCUAAGUACCCCGAGGAAAAGAAAUCAACCGAGAUUCCCCCAGUAGCGGCGAGCGAACGGGGAGCAGCCCAGAGUCUGAAUCAGCUUGUGUGUUAGUGGAAGCGUCUGGAAAGUCGCACGGUACAGGGUGACAGUCCCGUACACGAAAGCACACAGGUUGUGAACUCGAAGAGUAGGGCGGGACACGUGGUAUCCUGUCUGAAUAUGGGGGGACCAUCCUCCAAGGCUAAAUACUCCUGACUGACCGAUAGUGAACCAGUACCGUGAGGGAAAGGCGAAAAGAACCCCGGCGAGGGGAGUGAAAAAGAACCUGAAACCGUGUACGUACAAGCAGUGGGAGCACCUUCGUGGUGUGACUGCGUACCUUUUGUAUAAUGGGUCAGCGACUUAUAUUCUGUAGCAAGGUUAACCGUAUAGGGGAGCCGAAGGGAAACCGAGUCUUAACUGGGCGUUAAGUUGCAGGGUAUAGACCCGAAACCCGGUGAUCUAGCCAUGGGCAGGUUGAAGGUUGGGUAACACUAACUGGAGGACCGAACCGACUAAUGUUGAAAAAUUAGCGGAUGACUUGUGGCUGGGGGUGAAAGGCCAAUCAAACCGGGAGAUAGCUGGUUCUCCCCGAAAGCUAUUUAGGUAGCGCCUCGUGAACUCAUCUUCGGGGUAGAGCACUGUUUCGGCUAGGGGGCCAUCCCGGCUUACCAACCCGAUGCAAACUACGAAUACCGAAGAAUGUUAUCACGGGAGACACACGGCGGGUGCUAACGUCCGUCGUGAAGAGGGAAACAACCCAGACCGCCAGCUAAGGUCCCAAAGUCAUGGUUAAGUGGGAAACGAUGUGGGAAGGCACAGACAGCCAGGAUGUUGGCUUAGAAGCAGCCAUCAUUUAAAGAAAGCGUAAUAGCUCACUGGUCGAGUCGGCCUGCGCGGAAGAUGUAACGGGGCUAAACCAUGCACCGAAGCUGCGGCAGCGACGCUUAUGCGUUGUUGGGUAGGGGAGCGUUCUGUAAGCCGUUGAAGGUGUGCUGUGAGGCAUGCUGGAGGUAUCAGAAGUGCGAAUGCUGACAUAAGUAACGAUAAAGCGGGUGAAAAGCCCGCUCGCCGGAAGACCAAGGGUUCCUGUCCAACGUUAAUCGGGGCAGGGUGAGUCGACCCCUAAGGCGAGGCCGAAAGGCGUAGUCGAUGGGAAACAGGUUAAUAUUCCUGUACUUGGUGUUACUGCGAAGGGGGGACGGAGAAGGCUAUGUUAGCCGGGCGACGGUUGUCCCGGUUUAAGCAUGUAGGCGGAGGUUCCAGGUAAAUCCGGUACCUUAUUAACGCUGAGGUGUGAUGACGAGGCACUACGGUGCUGAAGUAACAAAUGCCCUGCUUCCAGGAAAAGCCUCUAAGCAUCAGGUAACACGAAAUCGUACCCCAAACCGACACAGGUGGUCAGGUAGAGAAUACCAAGGCGCUUGAGAGAACUCGGGUGAAGGAACUAGGCAAAAUGGUGCCGUAACUUCGGGAGAAGGCACGCUGAUAUGUAGGUGAAGCCCCUGCGGGUGGAGCUGAAAUCAGUCGAAGAUACCAGCUGGCUGCAACUGUUUAUUAAAAACACAGCACUGUGCAAACACGAAAGUGGACGUAUACGGUGUGACGCCUGCCCGGUGCCGGAAGGUUAAUUGAUGGGGUUAGCGGUAACGCGAAGCUCUUGAUCGAAGCCCCGGUAAACGGCGGCCGUAACUAUAACGGUCCUAAGGUAGCGAAAUUCCUUGUCGGGUAAGUUCCGACCUGCACGAAUGGCGUAAUGAUGGCCAGGCUGUCUCCACCCGAGACUCAGUGAAAUUGAACUCGCUGUGAAGAUGCAGUGUACCCGCGGCAAGACGGAAAGACCCCGUGAACCUUUACUAUAGCUUGACACUGAACACUGGUCCUUGAUGUGUAGGAUAGGUGGGAGGCUUUGAAGCGUGGACGCCAGUCUGCGUGGAGCCGACCUUGAAAUACCACCCUUUAAUGGCUGGUGUUCUAACGUAGACCCGUAAUCCGGGUUGCGGACAGUGUCUGGUGGGUAGUUUGACUGGGGCGGUCUCCUCCCAAAGAGUAACGGAGGAGCACGAAGGUUAGCUAAUCCUGGUCGGACAUCAGGAGGUUAGUGCAAUGGCAUAAGCUAGCUUGACUGCGAGAGUGACGGCUCGAGCAGGUGCGAAAGCAGGUCAUAGUGAUCCGGUGGUUCUGAAUGGAAGGGCCAUCGCUCAACGGAUAAAAGGUACUCCGGGGAUAACAGGCUGAUACCGCCCAAGAGUUCAUAUCGACGGCGGUGUUUGGCACCUCGAUGUCGGCUCAUCACAUCCUGGGGCUGAAGUAGGUCCCAAGGGUAUGGCUGUUCGCCAUUUAAAGUGGUACGCGAGCUGGGUUUAGAACGUCGUGAGACAGUUCGGUCCCUAUCUGCCGUGGGCGCUGGAGAAUUGAGGGGGGCUGCUCCUAGUACGAGAGGACCGGAGUGGACGCAUCACUGGUGUUCGGGUUGUCAUGCCAAUGGCACUGCCCGGUAGCUAAAUGCGGAAAAGAUAAGUGCUGAAAGCAUCUAAGCACGAAACUUGCCCCGAGAUGAGUUCUCCCUGACCCUUUAAGGGUCCUGAAGGAACGUUGAAGACUACGACGUUGAUAGGUCGGGUGUGUAAGCGCAGCGAUGCGUUGAGCUAACCGAUACUAAUGAACCGUGAGGCUUAACCU
rnacentral:rRNA from 1 species